AUUGAACGCUGGCGGCAGGCCUAACACAUGCAAGUCGGGCGAGCGGCGGACGGGUGAGUAAUGUAUGGGGAUUUGCCUGAUGGAGGGGGAUGACUACUGGAAAAGGUAGCUUAUACCGCAUACCAUAGGAUGAGCCCAAGUGGGAUUAGGUAGUUGGUGAGGUAAAGGCUUACCAAGCCGACGAUCUCUAGCUGGGCUGAGAGGCUGACCAGCCACACUGGGACUGAGACACGGCCCAGACUCCUACGGGAGGCAGCAGUGGGGAAAAUUGCGCAUUGGGGGCAACCUGACGCAGCCAUGCCGCGUGAAUGAAGAAGGCCUUCGGGUUGUAAAGUUCUUUCGUUAGCGAGGCGUUAACUACAGAAGAAGCACCGGCUAACGCCGUGCCAGCAGCCGCGGUAAUAC
rnacentral:rRNA from 1 species